AGAGUUUGAUCAUGGCUCAGGAUGAACGCUAGCGGCAGGCUUAACACAUGCAAGUCGAACGGUAACAUGAUCAGCUUGCUGAUUGAUGACGAGUGGCGCACGGGUGCGUAACGCGUAUGCAACCUGCCUCUAACUGGGAGAUAGCCCGGAGAAAUUCGGAUUAAUACCCCAUAAUAUGUGUCUUUCGCAUGUUAGACAUAUUAAAGCUUUUGCGGUUAGAGAUGGGCAUGCGUGACAUUAGCUUGUUGGUAAGGUAACGGCUUACCAAGGCAACGAUGUCUAGGGGGUCUGAGAGGAUUAUCCCCCACACUGGUACUGAGACACGGACCAGACUCCUACGGGAGGCAGCAGUGAGGAAUAUUGGACAAUGGGCGAAAGCCUGAUCCAGCCAUGCCGCGUGCAGGAAGACGGCCCUACGGGUUGUAAACUGCUUUUAUAUAGGAAUAAACCCUUCUACGUGUAGAAGGCUGAAGGUACUAUACGAAUAAGGAUCGGCUAACUCCGUGCCAGCAGCCGCGGUAAUACGGAGGAUCCAAGCGUUAUCCGGAUUUAUUGGGUUUAAAGGGUGCGUAGGCGGGACAAUAAGUCAGUGGUGAAAUCUUCCAGCUUAACUGGGAAACUGCCAUUGAUACUGUUGUUCUUGAAUUUGGUUGAAGUAGGCGGAAUGAGGCAUGUAGCGGUGAAAUGCAUAGAUAUGCCUCAGAACACCGAUUGCGAAGGCAGCUUACUAAGUCAAUAUUGACGCUGAGGCACGAAAGCGUGGGGAGCGAACAGGAUUAGAUACCCUAGUAGUCC
rnacentral:rRNA from 1 species